rnacentral:rRNA from 1 species
AGUCAACAUGCCCAGAGGACGUGGAUAACCUCGGGAAACUGAGGAUAAACCGCGAUAGGUCAUAAUUACUGGAAUGUGUUAUGGCCCAAAUCUAUAUGGCCUCUGGAUUGGACUGCGGCCGAUCAGGCUGUUGGUGAGGUAAUGGCCCACCAAACCUUUUACCGGUACGGGCUCUGAGAGGAGGAGCCCGGAGAUGGGCACUGAGACAAGGGCCCAGGCCCUAUGGGGCGCAGCAGGCGCGAAACCUCUGCAAUAGGCGAAAGCCUGACAGGGUUACUCUGAGUGAUUCCCGCUAAGGGAAUCUUUUGGCAUCUCUAAAAAUGGUGCAGAAUAGGGGGUGGGCAAGUCUGGCGUCAGCCGCCGCGGUAAUACCAGCACCCCGAGUGGUCGGGACGAUUAUUGGGCCUAAAGCAUCCGUAGCCGGUCUUGCAAGUCUUCCGUUAAAUCCAGCUGCUUAACAGAUGGGCUGCGGAGGAUACUACAAGGCUAGGAGGCGGGAGAGGCAAGCGGUACUCAGUGGGUAGGGGUAAAAUCCUCUGAUCCAUUG